CUUGUCCUCUUUUGUGCCUCCAAAUCCAAUAGCAUUUGGACGGUUUGGCACCAGAUUAACUAUAUUUGUUUCUCUUCACCUCUAUUUUUUCCUUAACUUCUUUUUCUCUGUCCAUAUGUUAACUUAUUUACUAUAUCAAAUUUAUCUGUAGUAGUGACAUUUAUUAUCAGUUUUUCCAAGGUGGCACAUAUGGAUCCUUUGGAUUUCUGAAAUCAGCAAUUGUGUUUCUGCUGAUAGAAAUGUGUAGAGGAAGAGAAGAUGAGACCUGACCUGAGGUAUGGAGGAACAUAGCGAAACUACCUCCUACUUGCCUACAUCCAUUCUUCACCAUCUAGCUAGAUUGAAUAAAACUCCUCUACAAGAUUUAAUUUGGUGAAAACAAAGUAAGGUUUACAAUUCGGUGAAUAUACUAUUAGUAAAUCAAAAUAUUUUCUUACAGAAUGAAGAGAGAGCAACAAAUGGAAAAAAUCAACGCUAAAAGGGAAGGGUUUGCAAUUCCCAGGUUGUCAGGCUAACAACCUGUUUACUGCUUCAUCUUCCCUCAACUACUUUCUUCAUCUCUCAUCUUUCUAUUAUUUUGCAUUUUCUCUUUUAUUUUCUUCCUCUGAUUUCUUCUUCCUCAUCUAGAUAGACUAUGGAGUUUUACACGUGGCCACUUAACUGAUGAGAAAAAUAUCUUCUGAGGAAUAUGUCAGCCAGUAAGUGGAAAUUAAAUCAUGACAAACUGGAGCAACUGUUCUGAUUAUUCAGCAUACAAUAUGAGUUAGGCAUGGUUGUUAUCAUCGAGAUACUAAGACG
rnacentral:lncRNA from 10 species